rnacentral:rRNA from 1 species
UUUUGACCUCAGUUCAGACAAGGCUACCCGCCGAAUUUAAGCAUAUUACUAAGCGGAGGAAAAGAAAAUAACAAUGAUUCCCCUAGUAACGGCGAGCGAACCGGGAAGAGCCCAACUUGGAAAUCUGGAGGCUUGUCCUUCCGAAUUGUAGUCUAGAGUAGUGCCAUCUGCGGCUGGCCGGUCCCAAGUUCCCUGGAAAGGGACGUCAGAGAGGGUGAGAGCCCCGUCGAGGCCGGUUUAGUCGCUCCACGAUGCGCUUACAAGGAGUCGGGUUGUUUGGGAAUGCAGCCCUAAGCGGGAGGUAAAUUCCUUCUAAGGCUAAAUAUUGGCGAGAGACCGAUAGCGAACAAGUACCGCGAGGGAAAGAUGAAAAGACCUUUGAAAAGAGAGUUAAAAAGUACCUGAAAUUGUUGAGGGGGAAGCGAUUCAAACCUGUGGGUGCUCCCGGGGCAGUAGCAAUACACGCGCUCGGGGCUGGUCAACGUGGGUUAGCUUGGAAGGAUAUCACUUCCGAGUUGACCGAGGACUCGACGUUGGCGGAAAGGUUUGCAUUGACCCGUCUAGAAACACGGACCAAGGAGUCUAA